rnacentral:rRNA from 1 species
UACGAGGGGUCCAAGCGUUGUUCGGAAUCACUGGGCGUAAAGCGGGUGUAGGUGGCUUUGCAAGUCAUGUGUGAAAGCCCUGGGCUCAACCCAGGAAGUGCACGUGAUACUACAAAGCUUGAGUACUGGAGAGGAUGGUAGAAUUCCUGGUGUAGUGGUGAAAUACGUAGAUAUCAGGAGGAACACCGGUGGCGAAGGCGGCCAUGCUGCCAAGUACUGACACUCAGACCCGAAAGCGUGGGUAGCAAACAGG